AUGAAGUGCUUAUUUGGAAUAAAAUGACCGUGUAGGAGAUGGGAUAUUUUUGGUUCCGUUUGCAGUCCAUAUCUCUAGAAGUCCGUGGAUGAGGGGACGCAGAAGUGGGAUGGUAGCAGGAUAGCCGUCAAAGUCCCAAACCCCCAGCCGGAUUAGCAGCACUGUUGCACUCUCUCAGUGAUAAACGAAACAAAUGGGGGCUGUGCGAGGCUCAAUCUAGCUUUAAGUAAAGUCAAAGAAUAAGCCACAUUUUAAGGUCUAAUUGAACAGACUACCAAUAAAUACCAAAUCCUGGCAUGGUGAAGAAAGCAAUGGUGGUCGGUCACGCUUCUCAAAGCAAGUUCUCAGUUCUCAUGGAUCGCUCAGAGCCUGGGUUGGCUCUGUCCAUUCCAAUGGAGAGGACGGACGAGCACCUCGUGCCUAACUACCGUAAACGUUUACAGAUCUCCUCUAUCCAUCCAAAUUUCGUUAACAUCAUCAAAAAUUGUUGCGGUAUGGUUCGACCUGCAUUCGCCGCGAUGGUGGGCUUCCUGGCUCCUGCCGUCGUGUCUGCCGUCGUGUUUUGGAGCAUGAAGUCGAAGGCCUCCAAUGCACACCACCUCGCACUUUUGCUUCUUUCGCCACCUCCGGAGGCCUCUCAGCAGUCUUGGCUACCUUAUCCAAAGAUUCCGAUGGCUGCACUCCGGCCCUGGGGCCUAGAAUGUGGCAUUCGGAAAUGUGUUGGCCUUUAGGUCCGGUAUCUCCUCCAGCCGUGUUGCAAACCCAAGCGACAAUCCACCAACUGUGACCUCCAAAGGAUUCUGGUGGUGACCAAACUGAUGGCGACGUGAGCACCACUAUUCUUGAUUCUGAACUGAUUGGACGAAGAAAACUGAACAUGUACUGUGCCAUUUCGGAUACUAUUCAUUCGCUUUUACGUAUUGAUAACAGUUUUUUGGCACACAUUUUAUAGAUUACGGACAUGUUUUACUUCCAAGUGA